GACGAACGCUGGCGGCGUGCCUAACACAUGCAAGUCGAACGGAACUGUUUUGAAAGAUUUCUUCGGAAUGAAUUUGAUUUAGUUUAGUGGCGGACGGGUGAGUAACGCGUGAGUAACCUGCCUUCAAGAGGGGGAUAACAUUCUGAAAAGGAUGCUAAUACCGCAUGAUAUAUCGGAAUCACAUGAUUUUGAUAUCAAAGAUUUUAUCGCUUGAAGAUGGACUCGCGUCCGAUUAGUUAGUUGGUGAGGUAACGGCUCGACCAAGACCGCGAUCGGUAGCCGGACUGAGAGGUUGAACGGCCACAUUGGGACUGAGACACGGCCCAGACUCCUACGGGAGGCAGCAGUGGGGGAUAUUGCACAAUGGGGGAAACCCUGAUGCAGCGACGCCGCGUGGAGGAAGAAGGUCUUC
rnacentral:rRNA from 1 species